UGUUUACCUCUGAGCUGCCCCAGGGAUGGUAAUUACAUAGCUCCAAUAUCUGUCCUCUCGGCGCCUGAAUGGACUAUCCUCUGGGCUUUGGCGUUCUGAAGGUGUCAGAGAGAGCUUUCAGGCACUGUGACACACACACAGCUUCCUACAGAGCCGAUAUUUGUGGCACCAUACCUUAGCUUCUUGCAGUGAACCUGCAGGCAGUGACACAGCUACCUGCAGUGCCAAGCUGUCCUGUUGUUGAAGGCACGAGUUGAAGGCACGAGUUGAAGGCACGAGUUGAAGGCACGAGUUGAAGGCACGAGUUGAAGGCACGAGUUGAAGGCACGAGUUGAAGGCACGAGUUGAAG